AUGACGACUCGAAUCGCUCUGGGAGUCGGAGCCAACAAUCAACACUCUGCUUACGUCGGCAAUCUCGACUCUCGAGUUAGUGAAGAACUGCACUGGGAGCUCUUUGUUCCAGCCGGCCCUGCCGUUAAUGUGUAUGUUCCCAAGGAUAGAGUGACAAACCUGCAUCAAGGAUACGGAUUCGUGGAGUUCCAAAGCGAAAAGGAUGCCGAUCAUGCAAUCAAGGUGCUUAAUAUGAUCUAGCUUUACGGCAAGCCUAUUCGUGUAAAUAAGGUGAUACAUAUUGUUAUUUCUCUUUUGUAGAUAAUGAGAGACCCUGACACUGGAAACUCGUGGGGAUUUGGCUUCAUUAGCUAUAUGAUUCCUUUGAGGCAUCUGAUGCAGCUAUUGAGGCAAUGAAUGGCCAGUAUAUGUGCAAUCGUCAAAUAACAAUGUCAUAUGCAUAUAAGAAAGACAUGAAAGGGGAGUGUCAUGGUACUCCUGCAGAGAGAGGUUUGGCUGUUAGCAAUCCUACAUCAAAAGAGCCGGCUUCACACACUCUUUGCUAGUGGGCCUCCAACACUCCCCAAUGGGGCUCAGGCCAACGGUGCCAUGGGUGCUCCAAGGCCUCCGCGUCCCUUUGCAAGUGGUGGUGUUGGUCCAGGUCUGAUUCCCCCACUUCGGCCACAACCCCCUCAAGGUAUGGGUUUCCCGCCAAUGCAGAUGGCAAGGUCAGCCUCAACAACAGGGUCAACCAAUGAUGCCUCCACCGCCAAUGCAGCAGUUCAGACCUGCUCCCCCGAACAUGACACCACCCCUAACACAGGCCGCUCCUGCUCCUCCACGGUCUCUUCCACCUCCUAUGGCGAUGGGAAACCAACAACAGAUGUGGCACCCACCGCCUCCCUCUCAAAUGAGGCCUCCUAACAUGCAACACCCAUCAAUGCCACCACCUCCUCCACUUAACAACCCACCCCUACCGCCUCCAUGAGUUGAAUGACCUGGACUAGAGCGAUAACAAUGAGAAGCCAAAGUCAGAGAGGCCUCUAUGCGAGAUCAGAGAA